rnacentral:lncRNA from 1 species
CAUAUCUGAGCCUGGAGCUGAAGAGAGAUGGCAAGGCUGGAGGCGUGCCUCCGUCCUCUGGCUCUCCCUCUGCAGUUGGCCUCCCCUCCAUCCUGCCCAGGCCAGAAAUCCUGGGGGAAGCUGGACACAAGUCACUGCAGUUGCUGGCUUGGGAGAGACAGCCGUUCUGAGUGACGAGAGUCACAACCAGAGACAGAGCCACCUUCCCUUUAGAAGAAUUAUGCUAACAGCAGCAACGACAGCAGUAAUAAUAAAGCUGACACUUCUACCGUCUCGUGAUGAACUGUUACUAACUCCAUUUUACGGAGGUGGAAACUGAGGCUUGUAGAGGUUGGUGGCGUUCCCAAGGUCACACAUUUAGGAAGAGUCAGAGGUGGGAUUUGAACCCUCACCUGGCUGACCACCCUGCUUGUUCUGCCUGUGACUGAGCUCAGAGCCCUGUCACUCACCGGGGGGCCUUGACCACUGCCUCUCCUUGGGCCGCCUCUGCAGGUGGCUGUUGCUUUCAGGGCCCCCUGGCACUGGAAAACCUCUGACUCUCCUGCAAAACCCCUGCUCUGGAAGCCCAGAGCUGGCAAGGCUCGUUCUGCUUGCAGAAGUGUGGGGCAAGAAAAGGUUUUGGAAUUUCAGAUGCCUAUGGGAGCCCAGGGAGCCCCCCAUGGACUCUGCCUUCUGCCCGCCCCUUUCCUGUUCCUGUCACCACCUGCCCCUCCGUCUCGCCUCCUCAGACUCUUAAGUUGCUUAGCCUUAACCCAGGAGGCUAGGAGGCCAGGAGCAGAGCCUCCUGCUGCUGUGACUCUCCCCAGUUUGUAGUUCUCAGCACUUUCUCACACCCUGGGAGGGAGGCCGAUGGUGACACUCACGACCCACCUGGGAAGGGUCUGAGGCUCAGACAGGUGAGGCACCCAGGAUGGCACAGCCUGGAAGGGGAGAGCCAGGACUGGCAGCCUGGUCUUUGAAUGAUAGAAAGGAAGUGCUGGUAACAGAUUCCACCUGUGGCUUCCGCCAUGACCAGCUGAUCCUGCCUGUGCUGAGACCACGUUCCCUUGGGAACAAAUGGAACCUAUCUAACAUCUGUUGAGUAAUUGCUAACAGGCCAAUUCCAAGAGCCUUGCGG